GUUUCCGUAGGUGAACCUGCGGAGGGACCAUUA
rnacentral:rRNA from 1 species